GAAAAAAUUAUGAUAAUAAAUUACCAAAGUGUACCGAAAUGGAAUCUCUUUGCUAGCUGGCACACUUUAUAUUAUUUUACUAGGCUUAUUGUCGCCACUUCAGCACCUUCCGAAAACUUUUUUCGAAAGCUUCUCAAACGACAAAAAAAAACUGGAAUUGGAACUAUUUAAAUCAAUAAAUACAUUUCACCGUAAGUUAAUACUUAAACAUUUAUCGACGCUCCGAUUGUCUCACUUUAUUGUUGUAUAUUUUUAAUUGAAAGAAACUGUUGAUAUUUUCAUUCGAUGCAUCGCAUAUAUCAAUGCUUUUAUACGAAAUAUCGAUAUGAAUCGAUGCUAUGUUUCGAUGCAUCAAAUGGAAAAAAACAUCGAUGUAUUUUUUUGACUUGCAUCCCUAAUAAAAAGCGAAGGCAAAGUUUUUUGAGGCUAUUCCGAAUAUACAUUUUUUUGUAGCUCGUUAAAUAUCUCCGGGUUAUAUGUGGGUUUUCGAAUUGCAGAAAAACAAGCAGCUACAUACGUAUGUGGACCAAUCGUACACUGUGCGGCGUAAUCACAGGACACUGAAUUUGCACCAAGGCUCGAACAACGUUGAAUACCGACGAAUUCCCUCUUAAGCAAUUGGUCCAACAGGUUAAAGCCUUGAUUAUUCGUGCUGUUCGCUUUGUUAAAGGAACUCCGGUUAGAGGAAUGUGAUUCAUUUUUCAAACGGGAAAAUCUAGCUUUCUAGUAUGUCCCAGUUCUGCCGAGAGUACUACUAUAGGAUUUUUUUUACUACUUUUUUGUCAUUUGUGUGGACGGUAGCCAACCACCAUAAAUCAGUAAUUAUAUUGACUUCACAGCUUUGAACUGGCGACAUUCGUGCCACAUCCGAGAGGAUGUGUGAGUGUGGCUUCUUCGGAAACAAAUAUUCUAUGUACGUAACAGCGCGGUAAGAUGCCGCAUAAAUUUGCGACUGGCGAUUUUAUCCACUGGUGCACUGCUACUUACCACCACUAAAAAUAAGCAGAAACUGUGUUUGUAUGUAUAUCAUCGUCAGCAAACUAAACCAGCAAUUAUCUAAAUUCCCCAUGGAAGUAUAUUCAACAAGUAAUGGCCAACAUAGUACCAUGUAGAAAACAGCGUCCUCUCUAAACGUGAUGCAUCGUUUGUAUUUGGCAAGCAUGUAAAUAUUCGAGUGUUUCUUUUAUUAGAGUAUAAGUAUAAUUACAAUUAUACAUAUGUGCACACAGAUGAGUACGAAUGUAUAAUACAUAUAACUUAGUUAAAAUUAAACUAAAAAGAAAUACUGAAAAAGACAUUGCAAUUGUUAUGACAGACGAGGUACUAACUAUUGUCCAAAUGUACAUACACAAGCGAAAUAUAUGUAAAUGUACACAUGUA